GCGACUCCCGGGCAAGGUCGGCACAAAGUUUGUGGCGACUCCAGACGUGGCGGGUGGGCCGGCCACCUCUGGGCUGUAUGCUGGAGCCUUGGGCCUGAGAGGUGGAGGAGGCUGGUGUGGAGAAAUCUCCACACACACACACAAAGAGGACAGAGUAGACAAUGGCUGGAGACCCCAGAGGUCUUGGAGAUCCCUGGGAACGAACUUAGAGUUGGCAAGCAAGAAGAGGCCAGCAAGGCUAUACUUGGUCGCCCAGCAUCCAGCAGGUCUGUCCGGAGUCCCUGGACUGGGGGCUGGCGGGAGUGGAGGGACUCCCCUCCAGAGACAGGCUUUCAGCAAGACUCUCCCUUCCUGCACUGGGACCUAGAAAAAGCACCUGGUCAGCGAGAACUGGGGGGCUGGCGGGGAGGGUGGGUACGAAGGAGAGGUGAGGGCAGACAACAAGGACCCCGCGUUCGCCGGCGCCCAGAGGCCACCGGGGAGCGGCUCCUCCCACGCCAGCAGCUCAGGUCGCGGUCAGAAAAGGCCUUUGCAGGAAAAGACUCCAGGGGCGGGUCUGACGUGCGGGAGGGAAAGGCACUGCUCUUGGGGCCGCCGGUUUGGGAAGCCUUGGGAUCGAAGGUCACCCACGGGAGCUCAGAGCUCUCAGGAAGGAACCGGGAAAACGUGCACACGGGUGACACUGACACUCUUACAAGCUUGGGGGCGGGGAGAGGAGCACCUGAGACGAUCCGACACUCGCACGCCUCUCCUGCUCCGCAGCGUGAAAUGCACAUACGUCCUGAAUUGCAGAGAAAGCUGGUGAGAUUAUUGCUUUAUCGCCUUCCGAAGCACACAGAGCGUGAGGAACGAGGCCACAGGCCAGCCCUGCACACUGCGGGGACAAACGCACUCGAGGAACUGUGGCGGGGGUGCUUAAAGGUAGGACUGCUGACUGCUUUGAGAGGGAGAAGGAAUUCGCCAAAGGAGCAAUCGAGACCACCCUGCCCACCUCAACCCGGUGGCACUGCCCUGGACCACUGGUUACAGCAGGAAAUGAAUGGUUUCGUCUUCCUUGGAAAUGUCCUUUUGAAAAAGAUCAGUCCUGGGGUGAGGGGGGAAGAGGCGCUUUCAUGA
rnacentral:lncRNA from 1 species